GACCUUUUUGGUAUUUUCUGUCUUGCCAGCACCAGAUUCACCUCUGAGGGGAGCGAAAAAAACACAAAAGAAGAUAUGCUUUGAGGCUUUAACUUCAUAAUGAAGUGGACAAGAAAAAAUUCUACGCUUUAACAUGAAAUGGAAAACGGGCAGAUAGGAUCUCAACAGCUACAAAUGGAAAAAGAAGUCUCCAUGGUCAUUAAAUUUAGAGAGGACUUCUAUCAAGAAGAUAAGUAUGUUCUCUAAGGUAUCCUCCAAAGUAUAAGCCAAAACAAGACACUUCACAUAUUCUACAAGAGAUGUUAACAAGUACCUAAGUAUUUUUCAUGGUUUUUACUCUGAGCAGAACCAUCAAACACAUACUGGAUCAAAGUUUGUAAAAAGGUGAGCCAAAAUCUUCACUAGAUAAUUUCUACUAUGUAAGAGAUGUGAGAGGUUUCAGAGCAGCAGAGUCCAAUAUGCUAUAAUGGGGCAGCAAGGUUCAGGAUUGCAUCCUAACUCCGUAACCUGCUCUUGCCACGUCCCUCUUUGUUUGUGCAUUUGAGGUCAGGAUCUCUCUUUACCUCAGAAUACAGAGAAUUUUCUACCAUUAAGUUGGUCUCAAACAAAGAUCUGCAGGCUGUGGUACACAAUUAACACACACUGAAGUUUCAGAAUGUGCUCAGCAACACUAGAAUAUUUUUCCAGGCAAUAUUUUUCCAGGCAACGAGACUUCCCAAAAAGUCUGUGAUAAUGGAAGUCUAUAAAAUUUGCCCUCUAUGUAAAUGGGCAUGACUAGCUUGCUUGUAGUGAUUGUCUCUGAAGUAGAAAAAAUUUUUCACUGUGAGGAUGGUCAGGCAUGGGAAUAGCUUGUCCCAAGAUGGGUGGUAUCUCCACCCUUGGAGAUAGUUGGCGUAGACUGGAUACGGCCCUGAGCAACUGGAUCUGCCACCCAAGUUGGUCCUCCUUUGAGCGAGGCUGUCAGAAACAGCCUUGCACAGGCUGCAAACAAGCUGCUUGCUUAGGAAAAUAAAUUCCUAGGCAGGUGAAGUAAAUUUUUGAAAUAUAUGCAUAAUUUACAGAUCUCAGACUUGAAGCAGCCUGUUAAAGCAGAAGCAAAGAUUUUGGUGUGUUUUCACGUUAGCUAUCAGAUGCGGAGCUAGCAUUAGAGCUGUUGGGCCUCUGGGCAGAGGUAAGGCAUGAACCACUUCCUCCUUUUAUUCAGCGUGCUGGUGACUUGCAGAGCUAUCCAUCUGAGUGCCUGCCCCUAAAACUGGCCCUGUAUGUAAUAAAUAUCGUACAACUACCUACAGUAAACAAACUUUCUGUCUUGUGUUAAGAUAAUGGAG